rnacentral:rRNA from 1 species
AACGGCCGUACCAUGCUGAAUAUACCGGUUCUCGUUAGAUCACCGAAGUCAAGCAUCAUUGGGCACGGUCAGUAUUUGGGUGGGUGACCACCUGGGAACACUGCGUGCCGUU